CUACGUGCCAGCAGCCGCGGUAAUACGGAAGGUCCGGGCGUUAUCCGGAUUUAUUGGGUUUAAAGGGAGCGUAGGCCGGAGAUUAAGUGUGUUGUGAAAUGUAGACGCUCAACGUCUGACUUGCAGCGCAUACUGGUUUCCUUGAGUACGCACAACGUUGGCGGAAUUCGUCGUGUAGCGGUGAAAUGCUUAGAUAUGACGAAGAACUCCGAUUGCGAAGGCAGCUGACGGGAGCGCAACUGACGCUUAAGCUCGAAGGUGCGGGUAUCAAACAGGAUUAGAUACCCUGGUAGUCCACGCAGUAAACGAUGAUAACUGGGCGUAUGCGAUAUACAGUAUGCUCCUAAGCGAAAGCAUUAAGUAUACCACCUGGGGAGUACGCCGGCAACGGUGAAACUCAAAGGAAUUGACGGGGGCCCGCACAAGCGGAGGAACAUGUGGUUUAAUUCGAUGAUACGCGAGGAACCUUACCCGGGCUUGAACUAACGGUGACGAAUCUAGAGAUAG
rnacentral:rRNA from 1 species